rnacentral:rRNA from 1 species
GAUGAACGCUGGCGGCGUGCCUAAUACAUGCAAGUCGAGCGAACAGACGAGGAGCUUGCUCCUCUGACGUUAGCGGCGGACGGGUGAGUAACACGUGGAUAACCUACCUAUAAGACUGGGAUAACUUCGGGAAACCGGAGCUAAUACCGGAUAAUAUAUUGAACCGCAUGGUUCAAUAGUGAAAGACGGUUUUGCUGUCACUUAUAGAUGGAUCCGCGCCGCAUUAGCUAGUUGGUAAGGUAACGGCUUACCAAGGCAACGAUGCGUAGCCGACCUGAGAGGGUGAUCGGCCACACUGGAACUGCAACACGGUCCAGAAUCCUACGGGAGGCAGCAGUAGGGAAUCUUCCGCAAUGGGCGAAAGCCUGACGGAGCAACGCCGCGUGAGUGAUGAAGGUCUUCGGAUCGUAAAACUCUGUUAUGAGGGAAGAACAAAUGUGUAAGUAACUAUGCACGUCUUGACGGUACCUAAUCAGAAAGCCACGGCUAACUACGU